rnacentral:rRNA from 1 species
UACGUAGGGUGCGAGCGUUGUCCGGAAUUAUUGGGCGUAAAGAGCUCGUAGGCGGUGUGUCGCGUCGGCCGUGAAAACCUGCAGCUUAACUGUGGGCUUGCGGUCGAUACGGGCAUCACUGGAGUUCGGCAGGGGAGACUGGAAUUCCUGGUGUAGCGGUGAAAUGCGUAGAUAUACGGAGGAACACCAGCGGCGAAGGCGGGUAGCUGGGCCAACACUGACGCUGAUGCGCGAAAGCUAGGGUAGCAAACGGG